CGUGGAAUUUUCUAUUUUGGAGUCUUCUGUACCGAGUGGCAGAUUGGAGACCGGAUCCUGGAAUGGGUGCGUACCAAGACUCCAGCCGUGGAACCCAAAUCUGAUCCAUCUGAACCAAGUACUGUGCACGUACCGUACGUGAGGACGGUGGCAUAACGUCAGAACACGGCGUACCCAGCCAAGUGGGCUAACUCAUUUAAUGCAACAAGGGUCUGGCCCCAAUGAAGAUUCUGAUUUGUCUCUCGUAAUUAUAUGCUAUGCUUU
rnacentral:lncRNA from 1 species